ensembl:lncRNA novel transcript
AGGGCCAGCAGGGGCCACAUGGUGAGGCUGAGGGAGGGCUGGGAUGAAGCUGAGGCUGCUGGGUCCAAGUUAGGCAAGCCUGGGCCUAGGGAGUUAGAUUCACUCCAGACUCAGUGGGAUAUCUCAUGGCGUUUAGCAACUAUCUGGUAGCCUUCUGCUUCCCUGGCUGACUCCCGUGCAGGGGUGAAAGGCCCAAACAAAUGGUAAAGUGGAGAUUUAUAACUGGAGGCUCCCAGACACUCCAGAUGUGCUGGAUGCAUGUGCACGUCUGUGGGACAUGGAAGAAGAGAGACAGCGGGUUUCUAGGAAGUCUGGAAACUGCACACUGCAGCCAGAUGGUCCCAACCUGGGGGACCGUCAUGGCACACUGGGGCAUGAAAUCGGAUUUUGGAGGGAGACGAGGAUGUGGUUUGGCAGAGGCCCAGAGAGGGGAUUCUGAGCCAGAGGUGUAGGGGACGAGAGAUGGCCUAGGUUUGCAAACAACCAAACAGAUGUGGGAGAGGGAAGAUAAGCACUGGAGUGCCUUAGAGCCAGUUCUUCCCACUGCUCAAGUUCAACUCCUGACACUUGGUGAUGCCUCCUAUAUGAUCCACCAUCAAAUAAAGACUGAGAGCUCGAGUUGCUGUGAGCUACCCAAUCUCUGGACCUGCAGUAAAGUGAACAUCAAGCAGAUUGUCAAGAGAAGGUCCUACAGUGGAAUGAUGUUUGGAGAAGAAAACUUCCAAGAUGCCGUAAUUGACUAAUUUACCUCCUGUUCCUCUACAACUUAUAGGAGAAUCACAACCAGGCACACAUCAAGGAAAGGCUGUGUGAGGACACAGGGAGAAAGCAUCAUCUACAAACCAGGAAGAGAGCCCUUACUAGAAACCUAACCCUACCAGCACCUUGACCUUGGACUUCUACCCUACAGAACUGUGAGAAAUAAAUUUCUGUUGUUUAAGCCAUCAAGUCUGUGAUAUUUUAUGAUGGCAGCCUGAGAAGACUGAUAAAAAGCUAAAACACAUUUAAAUGAAAAAAAAAAUAUUUAUUUAUAUAAUGUAAAUAUCUUCCAGCUUGAUAGCCUCUGUGGGUGACUGCAUUUUGGCUGCCACAAUAUCUCCCCUCCCACAUGUACAUCUACCACGUGACAUUGAGUAUCUCCCAUCCCACACGUUUAUCUACCACGUGACAUUGAAUUGUCACCAAUCAAGAUGUACAAUCUGUGACUUUCCCUUUGGAAUUGCACAAACUUAUGUCUCAUUAGUAACCAGUGUGGUAGAAGUGAUGCUGUGUGCCUUCUGAGGCUGGGUCAUGAAGACAAUGCAGUUUCCAACUUGAGAGUUGGAGCACUUGCUUUAGGAGUGCUGUCACCAAGAAGGUUUGGAUACCCUAAGGCUGCCAUGUUGUGAGGAAGCCCAGGCCAGUGGAGAAGCCACUUUUGGAUGCUCAGCUUACUGUCAAGCACACAGGAAGUAUGAAAGAGAAGGUCCCAGAUAAAAGUCAACACCAAUAUCCCAACAUGUGAAUGAAGACACCUCUUGAUGAUUUCAAAGCCCAACAAUCAUCAAGUCACCCCUAGGAUAGUAUUUCUGGGAGGUCCACAAUUGAUCUCUCACAUGUACUCACAUAUUGGUUUCUGCUGUCAUCACAUGAUCAAUCAUCACCACUGUUGUUCCUCUGCUGCCUGGAGGUUCUCCAUCCCUGCCUUUGCCCUUCCCUCACACUCUCAUUUCAAGGUCCCUGUCAAAGAGGAAUGAUUUAACAGCUUUCAGGAUUUGGCAACUCCAAUGCCGCUGAAGACUGAGUGUGGAAGAGGCCCCAUUGCCAAUUUUCAGCCAUACUUUGUCACUUGGGCUCCAAAGCAACCUAGAAAGUCACAAAAGCUACUCCUGGGCAAUUUUCUGCCAACUCUAGUAGCCGUGCUUAUUCAAUAACAAUUAUAUAAUACUCAAUGUGAGACAGUUACUAUUUCCAUCACUUAAAAAGAUUAACCUACCUUUACAAUAACCUUAUGAGUUUUGUUAUUAUUUUGUUUUACAGAAGAGGAUACUGAGAUUUAGCAAGGCUAAAUAACCAGCUUAGGGUCACCCAGCUAGGAAGUAGUAGAGCUAGUGUGUGUGCAUACACUGGCACAUGCAUGCUCAUAUGUGCAUGUGUACUUGUAUCUUUCUCUGCUGUGUAUACUUGGAAGCAGGUUUUGGCUUGCCUGAGUCUAUGGAUGGAGGUAAGAGCAGCCAAUAUUUAUUGCAAGAGAUAAACAAACCCUAACCCAGCCAAGCUUUAAAGUGUCUGGGGUUUUAAGAGCUUUCCAGGCCCUUUGACGAAACCCAUCAGGCCAGAGUAAUGAUGCUGCGGUUUGCCAUUCAUUCUUAUUGGGUUUAAUGAAGAUAAAGGAGCUCUCUUUAUGUGUCCAGUUGGGCUUAACAAAUUAACCAGGCUGCCGGAGGGGUACAUGUGAACAGAAUAUUUGUCCUCAUAAUGUUCAUUAGGAGGGAGAAAGUUAACUAACCUUUUGUUCUGUAUUUCUUUUCCUAAAGCCCAGUGAAAACUGCAGAGCUGAAACAUCAUCGCUAAUCUUAUUUCUGACGGGCCUUUUUCUAACUUCUCCUUUUAUGAUCAUUUCACAGCUGUUAUAUUGAAUCAGUAUCAUUAUGUGUUUAAAAAAAAAAUUAUGCUCUGUGUCUCAGAGCUAACUGUCCAGAACUAAACAUCCUGGCCCCCUUUGGACAAUGACAGGCUGUCAGAGAACUGGAAAGGGGAUUGGGUUGGUUUGUUUGCUUCUUGUGUCCUCUUGACAGCUCCUGGUGAAUGAAGGAAAGCUGCGAUGAUCAGAUUUUUGCUAUGGGUUUACAACAUGACUAUAAGCAAAUCCCUGUAGCAAAUUGCAAAAAUGGCCCCCAAGUCCUGAAUGCACACCCCUUUCCAGUGGGAUUUUGCCACAUCUCUCAUUAACAGGUGGAGUCCCUAUUUCACACUUUGAAUCUGGAAUUAGUAAUGGGAUUUGCUUUGUCCAAUGGGAUGUCAGCUGAGGCUUGAAAGGCACUUGUUGGAGUUUGCUUUACCAUGCUGCAUCUAUAAUCUUGAGACCCUCACGUUACCCGGCCUGAGCUAGCCUGCAAGAAAAUGAGAGAAGAUAAGGAGAAGAAACAAAGUACAAUGGUUGAUGGUCACCCUUGUUAAUUCAACUGAUAGACUUCCAACUGCUAGACAAGUGAGGGUGGCCACCCUAGAUCACUCAGCCAUCAGCCCGCAUGCCAACUGAUCACAGAUGCAUGAGAGCCCAGCAGAGAUAAGCCAUGCUAACCCAGGCAGAAGUAUCACCCAACUGACACACAGAAUCAUGGACUAAAUAAAA